AGUAACGGCGAGUGAAGCGGCAACAGCUCAAAUUUGAAAUCUGGCCCCUCGGGCCCGAGUUGUAAUUUGUAGAGGAUGCUUUUGGCAAGGUGCCGCCCGAGUUCCCUGGAACGGGACGCCGCAGAGGGUGAGAGCCCCGUCUGGCUGGCCACCGAGCCUCUGUAAAGCUCCUUCGACGAGUCGAGUAGUUUGGGAAUGCUGCUCAAAAUGGGAGGUAUAUGUCUUCUAAAGCUAAAUAUUGGCCAGAGACCGAUAGCGCACAAGUAGAGUGAUCGAAAGAUGAAAAGCACUUUGAAAAGAGGGUUAAACAGUACGUGAAAUUGUUGAAAGGGAAGCGCUCAUGACCAGACUUGGGCUUGGCGAAUCAUCCGGCGUUCUCGCCGGUGCACUUCGCCUCGCCCAGGCCAGCAUCAGUUCGCGCCGGGGGACAAAAGCUUCGGGAAUGUGGCUCCUCCGGGAGUGUUAUAGCCCGUUGCAUAAUACCCUGGGGCGGACUGAGGUUCGCGCAUCUGCAAGGAUGCUGGCGUAAUGGUCAUCAGCGACCCGUCUUG
rnacentral:rRNA from 1 species